CAGCAGCCACGGGAAUACGUAGGUGGCAAGCGUUGUCCGGAAUUAUUGGGCGUAAAGGGCUCGCAGGCGGUUUCUUAAGUCUGAUGUGAAAGCCCCCGGCUCAACCGGGGAGGGUCAAUGGAAACUGGGAAACUUGAGUGCAGAAGAGGAGAGUGGAAUUCCACGUGUAGCGGUGAAAUGCGUAGAGAUGUGGAGGAACACCAGUGGCGAAGGCGACUCUCUGGUCUGUAACUGACGCUGAGGAGCGAAAGCGUGGGGAGCGAACAGGAUUAGAUACCCCCGUAGUCCCUGUCUCUUAUAC
rnacentral:rRNA from 1 species